rnacentral:rRNA from 1 species
UACUGCAUUUUUUCUUACRCAUGUGUUUUUCUUUUUGAAAACUUUGCUUUGGUAGGCCUUCUAUAUGGGGCCUGCCAGAGAUUAAACUCAACCAAAUUUUAUUUAAUGUCAACCGAUUAUUUAAUAGUCAAAACUUUCAACAACGGAUCUCUUGGUUCYCGCAUCGAUGAAGAACGCAGCGAAAUGCGAUAAGUAAUAUGAAUUGCAGAUAUUCGUGAAUCAUCGAAUCUUUGAACGCACAUUGCGCCCUUUGGUAUUCCAAAGGGCAUGCCUGUUUGAGCGUCAUUUCUCCCUCAAACCCUCGGGUUUGGUGUUGAGCGAUACGCUGGGUUUGCUUGAAAGAAAGGCGGAGUAUAAACUAAUGGAUAGGUUUUUUCCACUCAUUGGUACAAACUCCAAAACUUCUUCCAAAUUCGACCUCAAAUCAGGUAGGACUACCCGCUGAACUUAAGCAUAUCAAUAAGCGGAGG